UACGUAGGGGGCAAGCGUUGUCCGGAAUUAUUGGGCGUAAAGAGCGUGUAGGCGGCCCGAUCAGUCCGCUGUGAAAGUCCAGGGCUCAACCCUGGGAUGCCGGUGGAUACUGUCGGGCUAGAGUCCGGAAGGGGCGAGUGGAAUUCCUGGUGUAGCGGUGAAAUGCGCAGAUAUCAGGAGGAACACCAAUGGCGAAGGCAGCUCGCUGGGACGUGACUGACGCUGAGACGCGAAAGCGUGGGGAGCAAACAGG
rnacentral:rRNA from 1 species